GCGUUCGAAGCAAGAUAAAAACUUGAACUUUGUCAAAACUUUGUUUUCUGCCAGCAUUCUCGCUCCCAGCUCAGCGCUUUCAGCAUCCAAACUGAAGUGUUGAGCUUCUAAGCUGCAGACUGUA
rnacentral:lncRNA from 1 species